rnacentral:tRNA from 1 species
GUGUCAGUGGCAGAGCGUCUGUCUAGUAAACAGAAGGUCGCUGGUUCGAUUCCAGCAUGAGGCA